rnacentral:rRNA from 1 species
GAUGAACGCUGGCGGCGUGCCUAAUACAUGCAAGUCGAGCGAAGCGGGGACGGGUGAGUAACACGUGGGUAACUUCCUAUAAGACUGGGAUAAUUUUGGGAAACCGGAGCUAUACCGGAUAAUUCCCACGGGUUCCGCGCUGCAUUAGCUAGUUGGUAAGGUAACGGCUUACCAAGGCAACGAUGCAUAGCCGACCUGAGAGGGUGAUCGGCCACACUGGAACUGAGACACGGUCCAGACUCCUACGGGAGGCAGCAGUGGGGAAUCUUCCGCAAUGGGCGAAAGCCUGACGGAGCAACGCCGCGUGAGUGAUGAAGGUCUUCGGAUCGUAAAACUCUGUUAUUAGGGAAGCGGUACCUAAUCAGAAAGCCACGGCUAACUACGUGCCAGCAGCCGCGGUAAUAC